GGCGGAAUGUGCAGAGCUCUGGCUUCUAUUACUGGAGCCGCGCCACGUGACUCCUCCGUGUGUUGUGUCAUGUGCUGGGACAAUGUUGUACUAAGGGGAGGCUAUAAGUGGAAGUGAUCCCUCAAGAACCAGGAGUCUGGGAUUGAAAAACACACAACAGAAGAUGAAACCACAAAGAAAACAGUGAUAUACAGGACGCGUCACGAUCAAGCACCACCAUCCAUCUUUAGCACGACCGUGUCUCAUGCCGUCUUGCUCCUGAUCACCAGAGUACAGUGAUCCCUCAACUUACAAUGGCCUCAACAUACAAUAGUUUCAACAUACAGUGGUCUUUUCUGGACCAUUGUAACUUGAAACCAGACUCAACAUACAAUGCUAUGGAAUCUGUGAAACGUGUCAAUGGCUGGAAGAACCGAUAUAUCAGAAUGGGCAUUUCACUGGUAAAACCCCUGUAUUACUGAAGUGCAUGCACCGACUGACUGGUGUCUGGUAGCGCCCCCUACAGUACAGGGAGGUAUUACAUGUUCUGUACUCUUUACCUCUGCCAGGGUAGCUGCUCCUUUGGACACCAGGUGAGGGAAGCUCCAUUUCCCUUUUUUUUUUUAGGACAUUGUGUGUUCAGUACAGGACCCUGAAGAAGCUUCUGUCCUCUACAUAGACCAGUGUUUCCCA